rnacentral:rRNA from 1 species
AUGGCUUCCGCCAUCACUUUUAAGGGUGCCGCGCCGGCCAGCCUCCUCAAGUCCGGUGCUCCCGUGGCCUUCUGCGCACUCCAUUCUCCCACCGUCACCACCGACCGCCGCCCGUACAACAACCAGGUAACGAAGGUCGGCCGCUACGAUGACGACGACGACUACAGCGGCUGCGACCUCGUCAUCCCCAGCUUCCUCUCACAAGCUUUUGACGUCCUUGAUGUUGAUUCUGCAGACGUGCUCGACCCGCACAGUGCGCCGACCAGCAUGGCCCGUCAGCUGUCUCCGAUGGAGACCGGCCUCUCCACCAUUGCUGGAACGUCGCAGCUCGGACGGUGGGUGGCGAAGGAGGACGACAGGCUGGCGGUCGAGGACGCACUUGUCGCCUACACGACCAUGGUUGAUAAGUCCAGACCAGCUCACUCCCAGUGGUUCAACGACAGCUCCGACAACAUUAGAGGCUGCUGUGACAAGGCUAUGCAGAUCCUGUGCGUGCACUACGGGUGGGAGCUGGGAGGUAAGGCUCAAAUUCUGUUGACUGUUCUUGACGGCGACGACAACUCCGUGGUGCCGGGGUACAACCAUCGCAUGGAGAUGCCAGCUGACGCGUACAAGAUAAACAAGAUCAAGGCUGAGAUAAAGAAUUGCGUCCUCUGGGUGACCCUGCUCAAGGUGAAGGAGGAGGAGCGCAAGAACAUCUUCCACGUGAAGGACGAGUAG